GCAAUUCUCCUGUCUCGGCCUCCCAAGUAGCUGGGAUUACAGAAAAAGAUUGAAACAAGAAAUAAAAACAACUGGGAAAAAAAUGACUAUUAACUAUUAUCCUCAAGCCACAUCAAAUUCUGUGCAUAUCUUUCUUGGAAAAGUAAAUUUCACAUCCUCGCUGCAAAUGGAACAGGAAACACUAGAAAGGCUCCAGUGAGAAAUCUGUUCAAACUCCACGAUGGCCACUGUCAUUUCAAAAGCCACAGAACGUCCCCUCAGUGGACCUGCUCAGAAGAGGGAAUCAGCUACACCUGGGUCUCACUGCCGCCAGCCAUGAGAUCUCCCCAGGAUUCCUGUGCUUUUCACAGCAGAUACCUGGUUGCAGCAGAAAAACCUAUGUCCCUCCCCUGAAAAUAAGUGUGAGUGCUUGGAAUCUGAGAUGGAAGAAGUCUCAGAAAGAGUCUGAUAGACGAUUACAGGCAUGGUAACACCUGUAAAUCAUGGCUUUGGUGGAUCAUGGGGUAGUAGAGUAACCCUUUCUGAUUGCCCAGAGUCUCUUGAUAUCCCAAGCUUUCAGCCUAUUUAUUGUCAAGAUACCAAAAACUAGAUCCCUGGAAAGGGAGACACCCCUGCUUUGAGAAAGCACCUUGUUUACUCCAAACCAUGCCACAUUGCCUUAUGAGAUGACCUCAAAGCCACGUGCAGUUCCCAGGACUGGCUGAGAUACUGAAGCAGGAUGGCCAGGCUUACCCAGAGAGAAAGUCAAGUGAAGAUAGAAAAUCCAUCACAAUACAAUGUCCAGAGUAAGCAAAUCCAUAGAGAUGGAAGGUAGAUUUGUGUCAUCAGGGACUUGGGAAUGGGGAAAAUGGAGAGUGACUCCUAAUGGGUAUGGGAUUUCUUUCUAGGGUGAUAAAUACAUUCUAGAAUUAAUAGUGGUGAUGGUUACACAACUCUGAAUACACUAAAAACCACUGACUUCUCCACUUUA